UUUUAAAAAAAGGGGGGGGGGGGUGACAUUGGAACUCUUGUGUUUGAAUGUUGACAAACUGACCAUGACUCAUCACAAUAGUUUCAGUUGAUUCAAAGUCUGCCACAUUGCAUAAAAGAUAAAAUAACAGUGAGGGCUUAAACUCAUUAAUUAAACUAGAAAGGGGGAGGUAGAGUUGUUUUUGUUUUGUACAAAUCACACACAUAUGCAGUGUGGAUGACAUUCCUUACUCCCCCCUCUUUUUUUUUUUUUUUUUUUUUGU